GAGUUAAAAUUAACAUCUAUAUAUGAUAAUAGAGAAACCGAAUGAAUAGUAAGUGACUGCUGGUGUCAACCAUCUAUUGGGCCAACCUUUUACAUGCCACAUGUACGGAAUCUAUCAAUGGCACUUGCCACGCAUCCAAAACCCAGUAAAAAACCCACCACCCGUUGUUCACAAACCCUGAAACCCGUCACGCAUGAAAACUAACAGAGAGAAAGUGGGGGUGGCAUAAAGAAGAGAGGGCUCAUGAAGGAACAUCGUCAAACUCCGGCGAUAACAACGGUUGUUUCUAGGGUUUUGAGACACGGUCCGCCGCUGAUGACGACGGUGAUGGUGGAUUCGAGGUGGGUUUACAACUGAUUCGAGGUUGUUUGUGCUGCCAAGCAAGUGAAAAAGGUGAUCCGACGAAAUCAAGCGACAACGAUUUCAACGCUAGAUCGGGAUCUUUUUUCCAUCAUACCUGGUACAUAUAUAUUAUUACUAAAAAACUAAUUUCAUUCAUUCAGUAAUGGAAAAUCACUUUUAAAAAGCACAUCUAAACACCCACUUACAUGUCACCGUUUGUACCCAUUUGUUUAUAGUUGGGUCGAUUUGAGUUAUUUGUUGUGUCAACCGGUAUCGAACCAGUACUGGUAUCGAAAACACCGGUACGGUCCUGUUCGGUAUCUAUACUUGAGGCGUGCUCCUCAGGCCAAAAAGCCCCCAAAAACAAUCAGAAAAUGCACCUUUUGGUCGCUUCCUGUAAUUACACAAGGCGCUGAGCAAAAAAGCCCCAGGCCCUGCGCCUAUGCGCGUUUUUUAAAACCAGGUUCAGAGGUGGCGAUUUCUUCGGAUUGGAUGGUAUUUUAUAUGAAAUCUAACAAGUGAGAGGUGUAAACUUUGAAGGCUUGGUUGAACAUGUAAUGGGUCAGAAGUGAUCUAUUGGGUCUUCUCUUCAACUUAUACCAAACACUAAAAAACCGCGGCCACCGAAUGGGUAUUAAACUAGGUUUUGUAGAAUAUACAAAAACUAACCUAGGAUAUGCAACCUUCUUUACAGCACUUAAGUCAGUUCAGUGUUUGAUUUGGUUGAUUUUUUUGUACAGGUACUGUGGUUAAUUUUAAAUACGCGGUCUUCAUACUUUUUGCUGUUAAUUUGUAGUUACAAAGUGAUAAUUUGCUCGGAUCUGCUUAGAAUUUUAUUGCUCCAUGAUUUUAAAAAUCUGGUGAUGGGAGUGUUGAGCUGUGUAGUGAGCAAAAUAUAAUGAUUGUUCUAGCGCCAUUAUUUAACUUCACUUUCGAUCGUGUUUGUGGUGCAAGUUCUUGAUAGUGUUUCCACCAUUUGAUAUAGUGUAAGCUACGUGUAACGGUGUAAGCAACUUUGAUGCUAGCUACAAUAGUAUAAAGCCCUGUGAGCCUGCAAGUGAUUCUUGCAUUCUGUCAAGAAGAAAAGUGCAUAGAGAACAUGGAAGGUUUGAUAAAGAAUAUGUGAUGCGGUGAGAAAGUUGGGCCAGAACCUAAAUGCCUUUGUGUCGUUAUGUUGUCUAGAACUGCCAAGAGUGGGGUGAAGCUAGAGAUUGUUAUGACCAUUCCGAAACAGUGCAAUAUAGCUGAUCGUCCUGUUGGUUAUCAAGUGGAGCUUAUAUAGUGCCUUGAAAACUUGAAGGCUAUUAGUUUCGACGGAAGCUGUACCAGUCUUGUGCCAAGCGCAAGAGAGAGAGAGAGAGAAAGAAAUUACGGUAGAGAGAGGGAGAAAGAGGGAGAGAGAGGCAGGGAGGAGAAACGACGGCGUCGUUUCGGGUUCUGCCGCAAACACAACGCCGGUGGCGACUAUGGUUGACGUUGCAAGCUCCGGUUCUGUCAAGAGAAGAAUAUUUGAUACAUUUUCAGCAUAAUUCGGUAAUCUUGAAUCGGUUCCGGUGAAGCUCCGAUGAACCGUUCAACACUUACAUGUCUCAGAUCUGUUUAGAUCGGUGACUCUCAGGCCACCAUCGAUGGGUUAGGUUUCACGGCUUUCCCAUUGAUUGAGGAUAUCUCAGGAGCCACGCGAUGACAUUGUGGUUGUAGUAGAUUUAGAUGGCGAUGAAAGGUUAAUGUGGUGAUUUUGAAAGUGUUUUGGUCUCGAAAUAUUUUCUCAAUUUGUUAGUGGUAAAUUGGAUUUUAUAUAGUGUUUGACUUUAGAAGGUUAUAUCUCCAUUUCAAAAUUUUCAUCUUAAAAUGAUAAUAGUUGGUAGUUGAUGAUAAUCUAGGUGAUGAGGCUGUUGAUGAUAUGGAAUUAGUGGGCUAUAAAGGUUUGAAAAAAUGGAUUAAUGAUAAUUGUGGUCAACUACAGGGAGGGAGCUGUGGCACAUGAAGACUUUGAGGGGAAUAAAGUGACUAUUGGAGCUGGUGAUUUGCAGUGGAUGACAUAAGAGGGAUGAGAAUCAUUGGAACGGCUACUCGUGUAUGGAUUGAUAGAUAAAAAUUGAGCUUUGGAAACCCAAAACAUAUCGGAUGGGGCUUCUGGUGUGGAAGUGAUAAAAAAGUCAAGGGUCGAGUUCGGUAUCAGGUGAUACCUUAGCCGAGUAAAAGAUCUCUUUCGUCUAGGGUUUUUGAAGACUAUUAGGAUGCUUUCAAUGAUGACUGGGAGCCUCAGGUUAGUGGUCAAGACUAAUGUUCAUAAUAUUUAGGUCAAAGAAAAAUGUUAAUUGCAUAUUUUCUCAACAAGUUAUAUUUAUUUGUGAAUGUGUUCUUGCUGUUGUAAUCUCAUUUGCCAUUCUUGCUUUGGCAGACUCAAAGAUCAUGAUGUAUGAUUUAGAUGCAUAGACAGGUUACCAUCUUCGGUAUAGAAAGGACUUUGUACAACAUUUAUUGUUAUUUUUUUUAUUUUUGGCACUAACUAGGCGGAAUACUUUAUAAAACAAAUAUUUUAAUUCGUCUGUACUUUUGGUACUGACUAGGCUGAAUAUCAAAUACAAAUCGUUUCGACUUUGGUUCA